CUUGGAGUGGGUGUCCAGUACCUCGGAGAGUGGCGGGGACAUGGAGGGGACACCCAGUUUCCUAGAGAGAGCGCCAGGAUCCCCUGAGGUGCUGAUGCUGGGACUCACCAGGAGUGUGCGCUUCUCCCGGGCAGUACAAACACCCGUGAGCCCCUCUGACAAACGCUGGAGGACACUCAGACCAGCUGGCUUUGGGAAGGUGGGACAUCAGGAAGGACUUGCCACCUGCCUGCAGAGCCUGCAAACCCCAGCGUGGUCUCUUCCUUCCAGCAGAAGCAUCCCUGGAUGUCAGUAAAUCCCAGCAGGUUUUUAACACCAGUGGACUUCUCUGAGAGCUGCAGGUGGCUGGGUGAGAGCUGAGCCCUCAACUAUCAGCUCAAGCUGCUGAAAACAACCAGGGCUCCAUGACACUGAAGAGCUGAAUCCAUCCCAGAUCCUGGACUGACAACACAUUAAUAAACUGUUAAGAGUUUAUCAAUUUAAAGCAAAUUCUUUAAAGUCAGCAGAAACUGACUUUCAAUGUACUCUUUCAACACAUGCAAAAUGGAAGGGAAAUAAAA